rnacentral:rRNA from 1 species
UGGCGGCGUGCCUCAGACAUGCAAGUCGAACGAUUAAGACUUCCUUCGGGAAGUGUAUAAAGUGGCGCACGGGUGAGUAACACGUAAGUAAUUUACCUUCGUUGGGGAAUAACGUUCGGAAAGCUAAUACCGCAUAAUGCAGCGGCAUGCAGGAUGACAGUUGUUAAAGAUUUUUCGCUUGAAGAGGAGCUUGCGGCAGAUUAGCUAGUUGGUAAGGUAACGGCUUACCAAGGCUACGAUCUGUAUCCGGUCUAAGAGGACGGUCGGACACACUGACACUGAAUAACGGGUCAGACUCCUACGGGAGGCAGCAGUCGGGAAUUUUGGGCAAUGGGCGAAAGCCUGACCCAGCAACGCCGCGUGAAGGAUGAAGUUUUUCGGAAUGUAAACUUCGUAAGAAUAGGAAGAAUAAAUGACGGUACUAUUUGUAAGGUCCG